rnacentral:tRNA from 1 species
GCGGAAGUACCCAAGAGGCCGAAGGGGCUCCCCUGCUAAGGGAGUAGGUCGGGAAACCGGCGCGAGGGUUCAAAUCCCUCCUUCCGCGCCA